rnacentral:rRNA from 1 species
AGGAGAGUUUGAUCCUGGCUCAGGAUGAACGCUAGCUACAGGCUUAACACAUGCAAGUCGAGGGGCAGCAUGGUCUUAGCUUGCUAAGGCCGAUGGCGACCGGCGCACGGGUGAGUAACGCGUAUCCAACCUUCCCCUUAGUAGGGCAUAGCCCGGCGAAAGUCGGAUUAACACCCUAUGUUUUCCGUUGCGGGCAUCUAAUAUGGAACAAAGAUUUAUCGCUAAGGGAUGGGGAUGCGUCUGAUUAGGUAAGUAGGCGGGGUAACGGCCCACCUAGCCUUCGAUCAGUAGGGGUUCUGAGAGGAAGGUCCCCCACAUUGGAACUGAGACACGGUCCAAACUCCUACGGGAGGCAGCAGUGAGGAAUAUUGGUCAAUGGCCGAGAGGCUGAACCAGCCAAGUAGCGUGCAGGACGACGGCCCUAUGGGUUGUAAACUGCUUUUAUGCGGGGAUAAAGUCGCCCACGUGUGGGUGUUUGCAGGUACCGCAUGAAUAAGGACCGGCUAAUUCCGUGCCAGCAGCCGCGGUAAUACGGAAGGUCCGGGCGUUAUCCGGAUUUAUUGGGUUUAAAGGGAGCGCAGGCGGGAGAUUAAGCGUGACGUGAAAUGUAGGUGCUCAACAUCUGCACUGCGUCGCGAACUGGUUUUCUUGAGUGCAUUCGACGCUGGCGGAAUUCGUGGUGUAGCGGUGAAAUGCUUAGAUAUCACGAAGAACUCCGAUUGCGAAGGCAGCCGGCGAGACUGUAACUGACGCUAAAGCUCGAAAGUGCGGGUAUCGAACAGGAUUAGAUACCCUGGUAGUCCCCU